AAUAUACUACCUCCGUCCCAAAAUUCUUGUCUUAAAUUUGUCUAGAUACGGAUGUAUCUAACACUAAAACGUGACUAGAUACUUACACAAAUCUAAGACAAGAAUUUUCGGACGGAGGGAGUACUAG
rfam:Triticum aestivum genome assembly, contig: Triticum_aestivum_CS42_TGACv1_scaffold_081200_1DS